rnacentral:rRNA from 1 species
UACGUAGGGGGCAAGCGUUGUCCGGAAUCAUUGGGCGUAAAGCGCGUGUAGGCGGCUCGAUAAGUCUGCUGUGAAAGUCCAGGGCUCAACCCUGGGAUGCCGGUGGAUACUGUCGAGCUCGAGUCCGGAAGAGGCGAGUGGAAUUCCUGGUGUAGCGGUGAAAUGCGCAGAUAUCAGGAGGAACACCAAUGGCGAAGGCAGCUCGCUGGGACGGUACUGACGCUGAGACGCGAAAGCGUGGGGAGCGAACAGG